UUGGGGAAUAUUGCACAAUGGGGGAAACCCUGAUGCAGCGACGCCGCGUGAGUGAAGAAGUAUUUCGGUAUGUAAAGCUCUAUCAGCAGGGAAGAAAAUGACGGUACCUGAGUAAGAAGCCCCGGCUAACUACGUGCCAGCAGCCGCGGUAAUACGUAGGGGGCAAGCGUUAUCCGGAUUUACUGGGUGUAAAGGGAGCGCAGACGGCUCUGCAAGUCUGAAGUGAAAGCCCGCGGCUUAACCGCGGGACUGCUUUGGAAACUGCAAGGCUUGAGUAUCGGAGGGGCAGGCGGAAUUCCUAGUGUAGCGGUGAAAUGCGUAGAUAUUAGGAAGAACACCGGUGGCGAAGGCGGCCUGCUGGACGAAAACUGACGUUGAGGCUCGAAGGCGUGGGGAGCAAACAGGAUUAGAUACCCUGGUAGUCCACGCGGUAAACGAUGAAUACUAGGUGUUGGUGCCCGAAGGGCAUCGGUGCCGUCGCAAACGCAAUAAGUAUUCCACCUGGGGAGUACGUUCGCAAGAAUG
rnacentral:rRNA from 1 species